CUCCAGUGUUGUUUGGUUCUCAAUGUUUUUUCCCUUCCACAGAAGAGUCAUUAUGGUUUGAAUGACAUGAGGCUGAAUAAAUGUUGACAGAAUAUUCAUUUAUGGGUAAACUAUCCCUAUAAGCAAUUUGCUCUGUAUGUAAUUUGAAAAGAGAAUAAAUGGAUUUCAGUUGUGUUUUCAUGUAGGGAGUGAUGAAGAAAAAUCCAAGGGAAGGAGUAACCGCAUAAGUGAAACAGAAAUAGAUGAAAUGGGAAGAAUAGGGAAUCUGUGAGUGAGGAAACAAGACAGUGAGCGAGCUGGUGAAUGAGAGCGAGGGAGGGAGAGAUAGGCAGAAGGAACUUGUUGCCCCUGGUUGGUGUUGUGUAAGACUUGGCUGGCUGUAGCAGAAUAACACUCUUAUUCUCUCAGUGCUUUGAACUCUGGUACCCUACAGCUCCGACCACCCCUCUUUGCAACAGCAAGAACUCACAUUGAGGUCCCUCUCUCUUUCUCUCUCUCUGUCUCUCUCUCGCUCUCUCUCUGUGUCUAUUUCACUCUCCCCUUUCCUGCUGUGUCGCACUUCUCUUUCUCUUUCCUUAAGUCGUACCUCUGCUUCAUUCUCAUUUGUCUUUCACUUUCUCCCACAUGUGCUUGUCUGCUUCAGAUGUGCUGCUGUACCUUUUUGCAUUUGUAGAAAGUUUAUGAUAUUUUUUUCUGUCCUGUUGGACUGAGAACAGGCGUGUACGGCUUCAUCAGCUGUGUCGUCACGUGUGAUGCUACCGGCUCUACACCGACCGGAUCUGGACUGCACAUGAGCCACACUAGCUGGAGGGUGUAUGGUGUGGGAACGGAGAUGGGGGAUGUCCCUGUGUUCUUCACAGCCCGGGCAGCCAGGCUGUCAGGGACAGGCCCUGGUGGUGAAGCCUGUGAGGAGUUUGCAGAGAUGUCCCGCUCAACAAUGGUGUGUUUCUGUGCUUGUAUGACGUCUAACAGCAUGACAGAAUGGUUCCAGACGUCCUUUCUCAAAAGGUCAAGGGAAUGGGAUUAUAUGUCAAGUGUCUGUGUCGUCAUGUUGGUUUCUAGAGAUCACCAGGCAUAUCGCACGUGUGUCACUGCACACACACGAGCAAGGCUGGCACAAAGCAGCUCAACAGAUGAGACCUCAUCAGCUGCAUCCGUUUAUAGUCAUGAACAGCUGUUUUAG
rnacentral:lncRNA from 12 species